rnacentral:rRNA from 1 species
UACGGGGGGGGGUAAGCGUUGUUCGGAAUUACUGGGCGUAAAGGGCUCGUAGGUGGCCAACUAAGUCAGACGUGAAAUCCCUCGGCUUAACCGGGGAACUGCGUCUGAUACUGGAUGGCUUGAGAUUGGGAGAGGGAUGCGGAAUUCCAGGUGUAGCGGUGAAAUGCGUAGAUAUCUGGAGGAACACCGGUGGCGAAGGCGGCAUCCUGGACCAACACUGACACUGAGGAGCGAAAGCCAGGGGAGCAAACGGG